AAAGUCGCACACCUUAAAAUAAUAUUCCCCAACAUUCACCAGCUCUGUUUGAUUGUUCUAGAACCAAGAUAAUGUGAUGAGAGGUUAAAAAUGAAGAUUCAAUCAACUGUGGCUGAAAUCUCUGGCUCCACCGUCACUAGCAGGUGAUGCUCCAGCAGUCAACUUUGAUAACGCAGAAUUCCAAGUACCAUGAGACUGCCUUUGAACCUCCUGCAACAUUCAUUUGGCCAGGACUCUUGAAGCAAUCUGUGCAGUUUGGAAAUGCAAGGGUCUUGGAGAAAUGCUACACUUAGAAUUUCAUGGGAAGGAGGCAUUGCUUCAUGGGAGGAAGUAGUGAGGAAUAUGGAAACACCUGAUCUCUCUGCCUUCCAACUUCAAAUGUGUGCCUUCAAGACAUCUAAGAAGCUGACACCAAGUCAAGACAAGAAGAUGAAGGCCAAAAAAAUAAAAUAGGAGAAGAGACUGAAGAAGGUAUACAGGUAUUUUUCUGCUCAUUGUGUGGGUCCAACUCUGUAAAAGGAACAAUGGUUGUAAAGAAAAAAGGCCAUAGGUAUUAGUGAGUGUCUAAGAAACUUUUGGAAAAAACUCUUGAGGCAUCCUCAAGGCAAAGCGGUGAAACAGGAGAGCCCCACAACUUCCACUAUGGUAUCUGCCUUAGGAUCCUUGCAGUACUCAGUCCAGCUGGUAAGGGUGUGGCUAUCAGAAUGAUGGAUUUCUAGGCACAGCAUCUGGUGCUGUCAAUGAAUUGCAUUCCCAGUAGUUAAGGGUCUGAAAAGGACAUUCUCAUGGCUGCCACAGUGUUCUUGUCAGAGUCAACUCUCACCUUCUAACCACACCCUCUACACACAAUCUGUCACUGAAGACGUUUUCCCCAGGAUCAUCACUCUUUAUUUUCAGUUAGAACUUUCUCAGCUCUUUCUUAACCAUUUGGAUACACAUAGAGAGCCUUCAAACACUCUGGACUCUAAUCUCCUUGACAAAUGAAGACUUCUUCUUGUCUUAAACAACUAAUUUCAGCUUCCCAUUGCUGAAGUCACAUCACCUGGAACUUCUCCGUUAGCAAACCUUACUUCCCUGCUUCCUACAUUCUGACUUCCUGUCAAUAGGCUUUCUCUGGUGCUCUUACUUAGUCCACUUAUGCUCCCCAAGUCCUAUUGCUGUGCCAACACUUCACCACACCACAUGUCCUCCAUUCCCUCCCUCUCCACGUUUGCACUGAGAGUAUGUAUUCCCAUAAGCACUCCUUGCACACAUUGUCCUCUUCUUGUGUGUUCUCUCAACACCAUUAUUUUGCUUGCCCUUGAUAAGCAUGUUUAGCCUUGUUUAAUUCCAGCUUCCCACCUCUUCCUUCCAAGCUCCUAAGCAGCUAAAAGUGGCUGCUGGAAAACACUCAACUGUCACUGACUGGCCUCACUUGAAAUUUAUGAUAACAGACCUCAAGUGGUACAUCAGU
rnacentral:lncRNA from 1 species